rnacentral:rRNA from 1 species
GACGAACGCUGGCGGCGUGCUUAACACAUGCAAGUCGAACGGAAAGGCCCUGCUUUUGUGGGGUGCUCGAGUGGCGAACGGGUGAGUAACACGUGAGUAACCUGCCCUUGACUUUGGGAUAACUUCAGGAAACUGGGGCUAAUACCGGAUAGGAGCUCCUGCUGCAUGGUGGGGGUUGGAAAGUUUCGGCGGUUGGGGAUGGACUCGCGGCUUAUCAGCUUGUUGGUGGGGUAGUGGCUUACCAAGGCUUUGACGGGUAGCCGGCCUGAGAGGGUGACCGGCAAAAUGGGAAUGGGAUACCGGCCAGACCCCUUAGGGGGGGAAGAGUGGGGGAUAAUUGAAAAUGGGGGGAAGCCUGAUGCAGCAACGCCGCGUGCGGGAUGACGGCCUUCGGGUUGUAAACCGCUUUCGCCUGUGACGAAGCGUGAGUGACGGUAAUGGGUAAAGAAGCACCGGCUAACUACGUG